UACGUAGGGGGCUAGCGUUGUCCGGAAUCAUUGGGCGUAAAGCGCGUGUAGGCGGCCCGGUAAGUCCGCUGUGAAAGUCGGGGGCUCAACCCUCGGAUGCCGGUGGAUACUGUCGGGCUAGAGUGCGGAAGAGGCGAGUGGAAUUCCUGGUGUAGCGGUGAAAUGCGCAGAUAUCAGGAGGAACACCAAUUGCGAAGGCAGCUUACUACACGAAAAUUGACACUGAGGCACGAAAGCGUGGGGAUCAAACAGG
rnacentral:rRNA from 1 species